UACGUAGGGUGCGAGCGUUGUCCGGAAUUACUGGGCGUAAAGCGCACGUAGGCGGCUUGGUAUGUCGGGUGUGAAAUCCCCGGGCUCAACCUGGGAACUGCAUCCGAAACUGCCUUGCUAGAGUAUGGGAGAGGGAAGUGGAAUUUCCGGUGUAGCGGUGAAAUGCGUAGAUAUCGGAAGGAACACCAGUGGCGAAGGCGACUUCCUGGCCUGUUCUUGACGCUGAGGCGCGAAAGCUAGGGGAGCAAACGGG
rnacentral:rRNA from 1 species